rnacentral:rRNA from 1 species
GUGGUCUUUUAAGUCGGAUGUGAAAUCCCUGAGCUUAACUUAGGAAUUGCAUUCGAUACUGGGAGACUAGAGUAUGGGAGAGGAUGGUAGAAUUCCAGGUGUAGCGGUGAAAUGCGUAGAGAUCUGGAGGAAUACCGAUGGCGAAGGCAGCCAUCUGGCCUAAUACUGACACUGAGGUACGAAAGCAUGGGGAGCAAACAGGAUUAGAUACCCUGGUAGUCCAUGCCGUAAACGAUGUCUACUAGCCGUUGGGGUCUUUGAGACUUUAGUGGCGCAGCUAACGCGAUAAGUAGACCGCCUGGGGAGUACGGUCGCAAGACUAAAACUCAAAUGAAUUGACGGGGGCCCGCACAAGCGGUGGAGCAUGUGGUUUAACUCGAUGCAACGCGAAGAACCUUACCUGGUCUUGACAUAGUAAGAACUUUCCAGAGAUGGAUUGGUGCCUUCGGGAGCUUACAUACAGGUGCUGCAUGGCUGUCGUCAGCUCGUGUCGUGAGAUGUUGGGUUAAGUCCCGCAACGAGCGCAACCCUUUUCCUUAUUUGCCAGCGGGUUAAGCCGGGAACUUUAAGGAUACUGCCAGUGACAAACUGGAGGAAGGCGGGGACGACGUCAAGUCAUCAUGGCCCUUACGACCAGGGCUACACACGUGCUACAAUGGUCGGUACAAAGGGUUGCUACCUAGCGAUAGGAUGCUAAUCUCAAAAAGCCGAUCGUAGUCCGGAUUGGAGUCUGCAACUCGACUCCAUGAAGUCGGAAUCGCUAG